GAUGAAGAACGUAGCGAAAUGCGAUAAGUAAUGUGAAUUGCAGAAUUCAGUGAAUCAUCGAAUCUUUGAACGCAUCUUGCGCUCCUUGGUAUUCUGAGGAGCAUGCCUGUUUGAGUGUCAUUAAAUUCUCAACCGCACUGACUUUGAAUUGGUGUGGCUUGGAUUUGGGGGGAAAAUUGUUGUGGGCUUUUUUUGUAUAGUCUGCUCCCCUGAAAUUGAUUAGCGGUACCUUUGUGGAACUGUCUACAGGUGUGAUAAUUAUCUACAUCCUAGACAUCUGCUGGAAUGCUGCUUUCUAAACCUUACUUGUAUUGACAAUCUUGACCUCAAAUCAGGUAGGACUACCCGCUGAACUUAAGCAUAUCAAUAAGCGGAGGA
rnacentral:misc_RNA from 1 species